CUACGGGGCGCAGCAGUGGGGAAUAUUGCACAAUGGGCGCAAGCCUGAUGCAGCCAUGCCGCGUGUAUGAAGAAGGCCUUCGGGUUGUAAAGUACUUUCAGCGGGGAGGAAGGGAGUAAAGUUAAUACCUUUGCUCAUUGACGUUACCCGCAGAAGAAGCACCGGCUAACUCCGUGCCAGCAGCCGCGGUAAUUCGGAGGGUGCAAGCUUUAAUCGGAAUUACUGGGCGUAAAGCGCACGCAGGCGGUUUGUUAAGUCAGAUGUGAAAUCCCCGGGCUCAACCUGGGAACUGCAUCUGAUACUGGCAAGCUUGAGUCUCGUAGAGGGGGGUAGAAUUCCAGGUGUAGCGGUGAAAUGCGUAGAGAUCUGGAGGAAUACCGGUGGCGAAGGCGGCCCCCUGGACGAAGACUGACGCUCAGGUGCGAAAGCGUGGGGAGCAAACAGGAUUAGAUACCCCAGUAGUC
rnacentral:rRNA from 1 species